CUUGACGCCACAGUAGUCUUCCGGUUUUGCGGUGGAGCGAGGUCCAGGAGGAGUUUUCACGGAUGGGAACCUGAGAAGGUGAGGAGCGUCCGUUCGCUGUUUUCUGAUCUUCCUUCACGCAGGACGCCUGGCAGAGAUGGUGGAGAACCCCUCCUGUGGUGGGAAAAUACAACAUUAGGAACAAGCAACAUGCAAGAACCAUCUAACACAGAUGUUCAGGUAUUUUGGUUCUUCUAGCUUUGAUUUGGAUGACCUUUGGAAAUGGAGGUGACUGUUAGGAUAAUAGUGGCUUGAUUUGGAUGACCUUUGGAAAUGGAGGUGACUGUUAAGAUAAUAGUGGCUUUUGUAACCUUUUUUUUUUAGGUUUUGAUGUUGGUGUAUGCUUAUUGAAGGUAGUUGUUCCUUAGGUUUGAACAUUUACAUUAAUUAGAAUUUGAUGACAAUUUUACCCAUUUACUUUUCUUCCCCUUUAUCUAUAUCGCCCCAUAUUUUUCACAUGUAAUUCCUCUGUUGCAACCAAAUGUUACAUUUUCCUACUUGUUUGAUGAUGUAUCUGCUAUUCUUUUACUGGAUCAUUUAAAUUCUAGCUUGGGGUUGGCAAACUAUGGUCUGUAUGUUAGAUCUGACUGGCAUCUAUUUUAUAAAUAAAGUUUUAUUGGAAUAGAGCUAUGUACACCUAUUUAUGUAUUGCUUGGGGCUGUUUUUGGUUGAUUCUAGUUUGUAAUGGCAGAUGUGAGAAAAUACAGAAAUAGAGACAGAUGGGCCCACAGGACUAAAAUAUAUACUAUCUGGGCUGUAUAGAAAAAUUUGCUGACCCCUGUUCUAAUUUUUCAAUCUAUUUAUACUUUUGAGCACAUGAGUUGGGAUGUAUCAUCCAUUCAUUGCACUGGAAACUGACAAGAAAUAGAUGUGUUUCAAUUGGGUUAAAAUUUUGCAGGAAACAAAUUUUGCAGGAUAACCAUCCAGGUCAUGGAGCUGAAAUAGGUAUUUAGUUAAAACACAUGAAUUUCAUGAAUUUCAUGAAUUUGACUUUUUUGUGGGUCAAAAUAAUUUGAAUUAUGUAAUUCCUUAAGGUUCAACCCAGUAAUACUCCUAACAUAAUUUUUCUAGUCUCCCUCCUGCCAUGAGAACCUGCUGUCAGUAGUAGGGACUCACUGGUCUGGAAAGCCCAUUGCUUACUGUGCAAGCAUUUCCUCCUACAGUUUUUUUUUUUAAUUUCCAUCUCUCUUCAGGUGGUCGCAAAUAAUUUUUGCACUUCUGUUAAGCCCAUGUUGACAUAUACAUGGUCAUCCUAGUUCUUGAACGGAACUCUAAAUAUCAAGUCUGUAUCUGCACCUGGGGAGGAAGAAGUGGAUUCAGUGUCCAGGUAUCCCUAACAAUAUCCAUUCUGCUGGUUUCCUUGACCUUGAUAAGAUCCCACUGGUAGGACCACUUCAUGGGCAAUGUACUUAGCAUUCAACAGCAUUCAUGCUGUUGUAACAAUCAGGCUAAGUAAAAUAGUUUACCCAGAGCCAAUAAAUUUCAAAAGUCAAGUUCACUUUACAGUGAAUACACUUAAUUAUUUUCAUCAACCAAUAGUCCAAUUUAAUCACUAUAAAGAUUGAAGUUUCACUUGACCAUGGUGGCAGAACUUUGAUCAAAUCCGCAUGACUUUGAGUUCCCAAAUAUAGAAAGCAACUUUGCAAAGAUUGUAAAUACAAAAUAUUUUAACACAGAUUUCUGUGGUGGUGUUUUUUUAUUUAAUCAGUAUAGGGAAUACUUUCUAUUAGAUUUAAGGUCAAAGAAACAAGUAGGAGACUGUCCAUGAUGUAGGAGAAAGAACACUGAGUUUGGGAGUUUUGUUUCCUGGGUUCAAGACCCAACUCCACCAUUUAAAAGCUGUGCUAACUCAGACAUACUUCUUAAUCUAUAGAUUGGACAUUAUUCAAGUGCAACUUGAGUUGACAUAUGCAGUCUGAGGCCCCUACAAUUUUAGAAGUGCAAGGCAUUCAAUAAUAUUAUUCUCAUAUAUUUAAUUGCAGAGUACAAAUAGCUGAUCACAGUGAGAGCUAUUAAUUAUUAUAUUAUUAUUUCAUAGUGGUUAAGUAAUUAGCCACUAGAUCACCAAAGAUCUUGAAGAUACACAGAAAUAAAAUCUCUCUGCUGACAAUACUAAUUGGUGUGGUAUUCCUCAAUCAGUCCUAAUUUAUGCCUGUAAUUCCAACCUAAUUACUAUCAGUUAUCUCUUUCAUUCUUAAAAUAGUUGCAGUGAAAAUGAUAAAUUAUGUGGCCACUUUAAGUAAAAUGUAAGUAGAACCUGAUGUUCAAAAAAAACAUUAUGAUUAAAAUCCUUUAUUAGUACAUACUGUUGAUUUUAUGUGUACUAGAAAAUAAAUUGUCCUGCCCUUAUUAUCACUUUACAGUUGCACAAAAGAUGAUUGAAAAUGUUAUUAGCCUAAGGUCAAGAGUCUGUGGGUCAUAACAGGAUAUAGAGUUAUUCUCCCAAUAUUGAGAUAUUGUUUUAGUCAUUAGGCUACUUUUACUUGCCAAGUGUAAUAGGGUCACUGUAUUUUUUAGUCAAACUCACAGAUGUUUCUUCUUUUUUCUCUUUGUUAUUUGUUGCCUCUGGGAUGAAUAACUCUAGAAGAAACAGCCUGCUUUUGUUGCUUCCCUGAAUUGGAAAGACUAACUUGAAAUGAAAUUGGCUGGUUUUACUCAAAAUUUUAUUAAUUAUAUUUAAGAUUAAUGUGUUGAGGGUCCUUGCUGUAUAUUCAUAUAAGAAUUCUGAAUAUCCAGGUUUCUGAGGAAUCUCCAGACUGACUUCCAUAGUGGAUUAACCAGUUUGCAUUCCCACCAACAGUGGGUUAGUGUCCCUUUUUCCCCACAUCCUCUCCAGCAUCUAUUGUUGGUAGAUUUCUGAAUGUGAGCCAAUUUGACCAAGGUGAGGUGAAACCUCAUUGUGGUUUUGAUUUGCAUUUUCCUAAUUACUAGAGAUCUUGAACAUUUUUUCAUGUGUCUGUUGGCCAUUUGGAUUUUCUCUUUUGAAAAAUGUCUAUUGAGGUCCUUGGCCCAUCUCUUAAGUGGGUUGUUUGUUUUGAUCUUGUGGAGUUUCUUGAUCUCUUUGUAGAUUCUGGUUAUUAACCCUUUAUCUGUUGCAUAGUUUGCAAAUAUAUUUUCCCAUUCUGUUGGGUGCCUCUUCACUUUCCUGACUGUUUCUUUUGCAGUACAGAAACUUCUCAAUUUGAGGCAAUCCCAAAUGUUAAUUUUGGCCUUGACUGCCUGUGCUUCUUGGGUGUUUUCCAAGAAGUCAUUGCCGGUACCUAUAUCUUGCAGGGUUUCUCCAAGGCUCUCUAAUAAUUUGAUGGUGCCAGGACAUAGAUUUAAGUCUUUAAUCCAUGUUGAGUGGAUUUUUGUGUAAGAUGAAAAGUAGGGGACUUGCUUUGUGAUUCUGCACGUGGAAAUCCAAUUUUCCCAGCACCAUUUAUUGAACAGACUGUCCUUCCCCCAGGGAUUGCUUUUGGAUCCUUGAUCAAAUAUGAGUUGGCUGUAGAUGUUUGGAUUGAUUUCUGGUGUUUCUAUUCUGUUCCAUUGGUCUAUCCAUCUGUUUCUGUACCAGUACCAUGCUGUUUUGAUUACAACUGCCCUGUAGUAUGUCCCAAAAUCUGGUAUUGUGAUGCCUCCAGCUUUGUUUUUGUUGUACAACAUUGCUUUAGCUAUUCGAGGUCUCCUGUGUCUCCAUAUGAAUUUCAGCACCAAUUUUUCCAGAUCUGAGAAGAAGGUCUUCGGUAUCUUGAUUGGUAUUGCAUUGAAUCUAUGAAUUGCUUUUGGGAGAAUGGACAUUUUGAUGAGAUUGAUUCUUCCAAUCCAUGAGCAUGGAAGAUUUUUCCAUUUCUUGGUAUCCUCUUCUAUUUCUUUUUUUAAGGUUUUGUAAUUUUCAUCAUAGAGAUCCUUAACGUCCUUGGUUAAGUUUAUUCCAAGGUAUUUGAUAGUUUUUGUAGCUAUUGUGAAUGGGAUUGAUCUUAGAAGUUCUUCCUCAGCCGUGGCAUUGUCUGUGUAUACAAAGCCUAUUUAUUUUUGUGCAUUGAUUUUAUACCCUACUAAUUUGCCAAACUCUUCUAUGAGUUCCAAUAGUCUCUUAGUAGAGUUCUUUGGGUCCCUAAGUAAAGAAUCAUAUCAUUUGCAAAGUGGGAUAUUUUGAGUUCUUCCUUCCCAAUUUGUAUCCCUUUAAUUUCUUUUUCUUGCCUAAUAGCUCUGGCUAGAACUUCCAGAACUAUAUUGAAUAGCAGUGACCCUACCAUUCAACCCAGCCAUCCCACUCCUUGGAAUUUACCCAAAGGAAAUGAAAUUGGCAAACAAAAAGCUGUCUGCACAUUAAUGUUUAUUGCAGCUCAAUUCACAAUAGCUAAGACCUGGGACCAACCCAAAUGCCCAUCAACAGUAGACUGGAUAAAGAAAUUAUGGGAAUGUACUCUAUAGAAUUCUAUACAGCAGUCAAAAAAAAAAAAAAAAAAACGAAACCCAGUCAUUUGCAACAAGGUGGAGGAAUUUGUAAUACUUUAUCCAUUUUAGUUUUUUUUUGUUCUUGUACCAUUGGUUGAACUCUGUAAUUCACACACAAUUAUUCUUAGGUGCUUAAAUUUUAACUGAAAAGUGAUCCCUGUAAGGAAUCUGGAAAACAUUAUGCUGAGUUAAAUAACCCAGUCCAAAAAGGACAAAUACCAUAUGUUCUCCCUGAUCGGUGACAACUGACUGAGCACCAAAAAGGAAACCUGUUAAAGUGAAAUGAACACUAUGAGAAAUGGUGACUUGAUCAGCCCUUGCCCUGACUGUUGAUGAACAACUUAAUGUUAUUCCUCUUAGUAUUUUUUUGUUUAUUUGUUCUACUUAAUACUUUUGGUUGAAUACUGUAAUCAAUACACAGUUAUUCUCAAGUGUUGAAACUCAACUGAAAAGUGAUCGCUGUUAAAUAUAAGAUUAGGAGUAAGAGAGGGAAGAGAUGUGCAAUUCAGGACAUGCUCAAGCUGACUUACCUACAUGAAAGUUCUCUGCGAGUGAGAAACCAGUGAAAAGAACUGGUCAUCAAAGCAGGAGGUACCUUUCACUGAACGGAGGAGAGAAGUUCCACUUUGAAUACAACCUUGUCUACAUAUGAUCAGAGUUGGUGAACUCAAAAGGCUUCCAUAGCCUUGGAAACUCAUGACAAGAGCCUAAGGUGAUUACUGAUGCCAUAAACAAGAGUAUCAAUUUGUUAAGUCAACAACAGGAGUCACUGUGCACUUACUCCUCAUGUAGGAUCUCUGUCCUUAAUGUGCUGUACAAUGUGAUUUAAUGCUAUAACUAGUACUCAAACAGUAUUUUUCACUUUGUGUUUCUAUGUGGGUGCAAACUGUUGAAAUCUUUAGUUAAUGUAUGCUAAACUGAUCUUCUGUAUAUAAAGAGAAUUGAAAAUGAAUCUUGAUGUGAAUGGAAGGGGGGAGGGAGUCGGAAAGGGGAGGGUUGCAGGUGGGAGGGAAGUUAUGGGAGUGGGAAGCCAUUGUAAUCUAUAAGCUGUACUUUGGAAAUUCAUAUUCAUUAAAUAAAAGUUAAAAAAAAGAUGGAGGAAUUUGGAAAACAUCAUGCUGAGUAAAUUAAGCCAGUCGCAAAGAGACAAAUAUCAUAUGUUUUCCCUGAUCAGCGACAACUAACUGAGCAGCAAAGGGGUAAUUUGUUGAAGUGUAAUAGACACUAUGAGAAACAGUGACUUGAUCAGCUCUUGUCCUGACAGUUCAUGUACAGUGUAAUACUUUAUCCAUUUUAGUAUUUUUUUUUGUUCUUGUACCAUUGGUUGAACUCUGUAAUUCACACACAAUUAUUCUUAGGUGCUUAAAUUUUAACUGAAAACUGAUCCCCGUUAGGAAUUUGUAAAACAUUAUGCUGAGUGAAAUAAGCCAAUCCCAAAGGGACAAAUACCAUAUUCUCUCCCUGAUAGGUGACAACUAACUGAGCACCAAAAAGGAAACCUGUUAAAGUGAAAUGAACAUUAUGAGAAAUGGUGACUUGAUCAAGCCUCGCCCUGACUGUUGAUGAACAACUUAAUGGCACAGUUACAGAGAGGCAGAAGCAGAGAGAGUGAGGUCUUCCAUCUACUGACUCCUCGGAUGGCCACAAUUGCCAGAGCUGCACCAAUUUGAAGCCAGGAGCCAGGACCUUUUAGCAGGUCUCCAUGCAGUUGCAGGGGCCCAAGCACUUGGGCCAUCUUCUCUUUUAUAGCCAGCUCCUGAAAGAAGUUCUGAUAUUCGUGAAAUACAAAUAACCACUACAAUUGGAUCAUGCCUGGUUACUGGGAACUUUUUGGUCAGGUUUGUUUCUGAAGCUGCUUUAUAGCUGGAUUUGGCUACUUUACAUUAAUUUAUACAAUAAGUGCCUUUUAUAAAAAGAUAUAGUAUGAUGAAAUAAAAAUAAAAAUAACUAAGAAGUACACAGGAAAUGUCUUUUAAAGUUUUAUAUGAUGUAAGAGACAAAGAACAGCACAAACCUUGGAAUAUCUGUAAAAAUAAGAAAGCAAAUAAGAAUCUUUAUUUAAAAAUAUUUUAUUCUUUUCUGAGCUGCAAACCAGUUUCUGGAAAAACAAAUAUGCAAGGGUUUUAAUAAAUAAUGCUAUUAUAAUUACCUUCUGGCAUCUUUUGUUAUAGAAAAUAAAGUUAUAGCAAAGUACAUAUAUAAGUAGAGAACCACUUUCUUGCAAUGCAGCAGAUAUAUAGAAAGACGCUCAAUAUCACUAACAUACCAGGUAAAUGCAAGUCAAAUAUUCAAUAAUAUUUCACCUUCUUUUACAGUGCCUUUUGUCAAAAGGAUAGGAGAUGACAAGUGUAGUCAGGGAUUUGGAUAAAUAAGAACCCAUCUAUAUAAUUAGUGGAAAUGUACAUGGGUACAGCCAGUAUGAAGACAAUAUGAAAGUUCCUCAAAAAGUAAAAAUAGAAUAACUAUACGACUCAUCAAUUACUCUACUGGGUGUAUAUGCAAAGAAAUCAGUCAGUCAUCACCUGGUAGAGAUAUCUGUGCUCCCAUGUUUAUUACAGCAUUUUUACAGUAACCAAGAGAUGAAAACACACUAAGUAACCUCUGAUGGAUGAAGAAAUAUUAUAAAUAAAGAAAUGGAGAAUCAAAUAUUUUAUAUUGGAAUGCUAUUGAGAGAAAAUUAUUUAGCCAUUUGCUACAGCACAGAUGAAUCUGGAGUAUAAACCAGAUAUAGAAAAAAUAUUUAAAUUGCUUUGUGGUCUUGAUUAUAUGUAGAAUUUUUAGGAUCCAAAUGCUGUACAUAGAAACAGUGCAGAACAUUGGUUACUGGGAUAGGAUGGAAUGAUGUAGAUCUUAGGGUAGAAUUUGUUUUUAAUCAUUAUUGAUUUGAAAGGCAGUGACAGAAAUUUAUCCUUUUAGAUUAUUAUCCAAAUUCCCACAAUACCUAGGGCUAGCCAAGUCAAAACAGGAGCCAGGGACUCAACCCAAGUUUCCCCUGUGGUGACAGACCUACAACUUCAGCCAUCACCUGCUGCCUCCAAACAUGUAUUAGCAUGACUCCAGAAUUUAGUGCAGAGCCAGGGCUCAAACCCAGACCCUCUAAUAAGGGAUGUGAGCCUCUCAUGUGGCAUCUUAACUGCUCCACCAAAUGCCUGGUCUGGGUAUAAAGUUUUAAUUCUGUAAGGUUAAUCAGUUUAGAGAUCUGGUGAACAGCAUGAGAACUCUAGAGAAUUAUAUUAUAAUCUCCUAGAAAUAAAUUCUCAGUGUUCUUACCAUGUACAUUAAAAAUUUAAUGUGAGAUACACAUUGAUAUCAUAUUUUGUCAACAUACCACAAAACAUGAAUUAUAGUGUUAUAAAUCCAUUUUACUCUGAAAUAUAAUUUGCUUAACUUUAAGAAAGAUACAUAUACAUGAGGACCUACAUGCACAUAAAUGCACAUUCUUCUGAUUCUCCCAAAAAUCAUUAAUAGAAAUUAUUUGAAAAUGCUACCAAGAUUUUAAGAAAAUCAUACAGUUUUACAUUAAAUAUUUAUGUUCAUUGUGUUAUCAAGACUUUAAAAAUAUGUUAAAGUGUUGUACCUCUCUUGUAAACACUAGCAAAUUAUCUAUUAUGUGGUGAUCAUAUAGAAUGAAAAUAGAUAAUUCAGUGUUCCAAAAUAAAUAUAGAAUGAUUACAUGCAGUGGAAUGCAUUACAGUUUUAUGCUUUUAACAGUUCUCAGAUUUUCAUGAGAAACAUGUGUGUUUUUUAAUUGUAAUUUUAAUUUUAAGUUUUCACACAUCAUAUAACAUGUCCAAAUCUUGAAUAUACUAUUCAGUGGUAGCUAUAAAUAAUCCAGAGUUUAGGAAAUGAGUCAGUUUUCAUCUAUAUUAUGAGUGCUUUUGCAGGGCCAUAAACAAAACACACUUAAAGGGAGAGGACAUUUCUAAAUGGAAUUAUCUCUACAGGCAAAUGUCUUGGGAAGAAAAUGUGAGAAACAGAAAAUAGUAAUCAGAGAAGGCCUUAUAAAUGUGCUGACAGUAAAACCCUUCCAACUCUAAGAGGUAUAUCAUCAAUUUAUUUGGGUUUCUAAGACCUGGAGUGUUUUUAGUUCUAGUAUGAUGGAAGCAACACUAGUAUCCCUAACUUGAUGCAGGCCUAUGCAGCAGCUUUGGGCUGCUUUUCUGUUGUAUGUGCAGAUGUGCCUAUCUGAGGUUGUGCCUAUGUGUCUGUGCUCCUAUUUUUCUCACCUCCCCAAAAAGUUCUUAAUUUUAUCACCUGCUCUCAGUUGCUUGUGGGAAGUAAUGUCAAUAGCACCAGCUAUUCUGAUGACUGGGAUCACAGUGUGUCAACCAAUCACAGAAACCCUGUGGUCACACUUGGUGUCAUCCAGGACAGGGUGAGGGACAGCAGUAGUCACUAACAAGGUGUUAGUCCUUGUUGUCCAUUUAUCAUGAGCAAUUAUAAGUUCCAGAGUAUUCUGCUGCCCAGUCUUCAGUGUUACAUUAUACAAUAGCUCAUUUCACACUCAAUGGCUAACUCAAAGAAUGCUGAGAGUACAGCAAAAUGAAAUAAGGGCUCAGAAUAUUCUAGGGGGCUGGCGCCAUAGCACAAUAGGAUAAUCCUCUGCCUGUGGCACUGGCAUCUCAUAUGUUCACCGGUUCUAGUCCUGGCUGCUCCUCUUCCAAUCCAGCUCUCUUCUAUGGCCUGGAAAUGCAGUAGAAGAUGGCCCAAGUCUUUGGGCUCCUGCACCCACAUGGGAGACCAGGAAGAAGCAUCUGGUUCUUGGCUUCAGAUCAGUGCAGCUCCAGCCAUUGCAACCAUUUGGAGAGUGAACCAAUGGGAGGAAGACCUUUCUCUCUGUCUCUCCCUCUCACUGUCUGUAAUUCUACCUCUCAAAUAAAUUAAUAAAAUCUUUUAAAAAAUCUUAAAAAACAAUAUUCUAUACAAAAUUCCCACUGAAAAAUAUUAAAAAUUAAAUAUUUAUUUUUUAAAUGUAUAUAUUUUUCUGAAAGGUAGAGGCAGAUUUUCCAUCUAGUGGUUUAUUUCCCAAAUGCUCCCAACAUCUGAGAUUGGACCAGGCUGAACCUAGUAUCCAGAGACUCCAUCUGAGUCUUCAAUGAGGGUGGCUAGGGGCCAAGUACUUGGGCCAUAAUUUGCUGCCUUCCUGAGAAUAUCCGGGGAGGGGGACAAGUGCCUGUGGGCCUCUCAGACACAGGAAAGAAUUUCUGACAUAAUCAGGUUGCAAAUGUUGUGCAAGCAGGCUGCAAGCUGUGGCUGGAAAGCUUGUUAUACCUGCUGGCAUCUCCCCCAUGAUAACCUCCUGUUCAGUAUGUGUGAGCCUGUAGUUCUAACCACAAUGUCAAUCCUCUACCCAGAGCUAGUACAGGAGAGGCCUGAGCCCCUAAGGGGACUCUGGCUGACUUCAGGAGACCCCCACUAUCUCCUUGGGUGGCCCCAGUUCAAUCAACAUAGACUAUGUGAAGCCCCUGUCCAAUGGGCACCCCCAUUGAUUGACCCAAUUAAAAUGCAGUAAUGCCAUAAAAACCCUGGGCACUUCCUGAAAGCCAUAGUCCUGCUCUGGCAUUCCAUCUGGUCUCCUGUUGGGUUAGAUGCCUUACUGUUGCUUUGCAAACUAAAUAAAGAUUUUGCAUCUUAUUUGCAAAUUGUUUCCCAUGUUUUUAUUUCUAUGCUAAGCUGAGGAAAAGCACACAUGGAGCUUUCUCAGGUAACCACCCUCCCCUCCAUGACCCAUAACACUUCCCAGGAACACUAGCCAAAGUGGAUCAGAAGUAAAGCAACUGGGACUUGAACCAAUGCUCUGAUGUGGGAUACUGGCAUCCCAAGCAGUGACUUAUCUCACUAUACCAUAAUGUUGGCCUCUAAGAAUAUUUAAGUAAACUUGUUAAGUAAAAUUAUUUAAAUAAAAUUCUAGAUUUACACUAUGAGAAAAUAUUUAAAACAUAGAUUUUAAUUGAUUUUAACUACUAGUUUAGGAGUUACUUUUGGUCCAGAUAGUAUCACAAAUUGAUAUAUUUAUAAUAGUGUAUAAAUACAUAUAUAUUCUGUACAACUUCUGUUAUUUGAAUAUUUAACCAAAAAUGCACCACAUAGAAUCCAGAUGAAAGAUAAAAUAGACCUAUUAGCCUUAGAAAUCAUACAUUGCAUACACACAAUACAUAUGUUAUGAAAUCAUUUACAUAUCUCAUCUGAUGCACCUUCCUGUAAAUAAUCAAUAAUGUGAAUAAUAUAUUCUUCCUCUCUUGAGUGUGUCUUCUGGUUGGGAUGCCGGAUUCUGUCCCGGUUGCCCCUCUUCCAGGCCAGCUCUCUGCUGUGGCCAGGGAGUGCAGUGGAGGAUGGCCCAAGUACUUGGGCCCUGCACCCCAUGGGAGACCAGGAGAAGCAGCUGGCUCCUGCCUUUGGAUCAGCACGG